GUGAAGAUGUAAAUACGAUGUUCAAUGUUUGUUUAUUUCGAAGUGUUGAGAGCCUACGAUCAGCAGAGAAGGAGGAGGACACUUCCGGCUGGGGAAUUAGCCAGCAUAGAAGUUUAGUUAGAAGGAGGACUUCCUGAAUCCCGGGUAGAGCCUGGCAAACAGAUUGGUUUUGCAGUUUGCCUUGAGGGAUUAUGGAAAAUGAGGAUCUACAGGUAGGGAGAAAGUUGCCAAAUGCAGUCUUCAGAGGCCUAGUUGAAAAUUUAUACUUAGUAAUAUAAUUACUACAUAUGACAUUUUGGGGCACUUAAUCUUUUCACAUAAUUUUACCCAUGGGACGAGCCUCACAGUUAAUUAGUGUUUAUUGUAACUGUUUCAUAGCUAGGUUAACUGAGGUAUGGAAGUUACUGGCUUUUUUCUAGGGCCACAGAGCAAGGAGCCAACGGGGAGGAAGGACAGGCGUUGAGGCGGAGGGAGGUGUGCAGGCGAGCCGUGUCUGGGUCGGUCGCUGGACGGUGGUGCUGGAACAGAGAGACAUGCUCAGAGCAGUGAAAAAUUUGUCACCCGACACCUAUCUUCCCUGCUGAGGCUAAAAAGAGAGGGACAUUCUGGCUCCUGGUUUCAGCUCUCCUACUGUAAACACGUUCUAUGUAUUGCUACGUUUUCUGAUCGCUGGUGAUUCAGUGCACUAGAAUGACCCCUAAGCGCUGACGUGGUGGCCAGCGCUCCUACAUGUCAUAAGGCCGUGUUGUGUGUCAGCUCCUGCUCCUUCCACUUACCUUGCCCAAAAGCUCUUCAAACUCUGGGGACCAUUCCUGCAUCAGCGUGUCAAUAUCAGGCAUGGGCCUACAUGGACAGAGGUAAGUAUGAGCAAGAAACAUGG